rnacentral:snRNA from 1 species
GUGCUCACUUCAGCAGCACAUAUACUAAAAUCAGAAGGAUACAGAGAAGAUUAGCAUGGCCCCUGCACAAGGAUGACAUGCAAAUUCCUGAAGCGAUCCAUAUUAAA